AGGGGAAUAUUGCACAAUGGGCGAAAGCCUGAUGCAGCAACGCCGCGUGAGUGAUGAAGGCCUUCGGGUUGUAAAGCUCUGUCUUUUGGGACGAUAAUGACGGUACCAAAGGAGGAAGCCACGGCUAACUACGUGCCAGCAGCCGCGGUAAUACGUAGGUGGCAAGCGUUGUCCGGAUUUACUGGGCGUAAAGGAUGCGUAGGCGGAUUUUUAAGUGAGAUGUGAAAUACCCGGGCUUAACUUGGGUGCUGCAUUUCAAACUGGGAAUCUAGAGUGCGGGAGAGGAGAAUGGAAUUUCCUAGUGUAGCGGUGAAAUGCGUAGAGAUUAGGAAGAACACCAGUGGCGAAGGCGAUUCUCUGGACCGUAACUGACGCUGAGGCAUGAAAGCGUGGGUAGCAAACAGGAUUAGAUACCCUGGUAGUCCACGCCGUAAACGAUGAGUACUAGGUGUAGGAGGUAUCGACCCCUUCUGUGCCGCAGUUAACACAAUAAGUACUCCGCCUGGGAAGUACGAUCGCAAGA
rnacentral:rRNA from 1 species